CAACACUCAAGCCUAGCUUGGUAUUGAACCACGUCCGCAAGGACCGGUUUUAAAAUCAGUGGCGGCGCCAUCUGGCUCUAAGCGUAGUAAUACUCCUCGCUUUUGGGUCCUGAUGGAUGCUGGCCAGCAACCCCCAACUUUCUAA
rnacentral:misc_RNA from 1 species